rnacentral:misc_RNA from 1 species
CAAGAGUGCAAGACUCCCUAAAACCAUUGACCGACCUUCUACCAAGUUGCUUCGGCGGCGCGGCUCCCCUCACGGGACCGCAGCCCCCGCACUCCCGGAGGUAAGGGGCAGCCCGCCGGAAGGAUACCGAAACUCUUGUACUAUUAGUGGCUCUCUCCGAGUAUUAAACUAAUAAGUUA